CCUCUCACUAGUCAGAGCUGAAGAAGCUAAAGGGCAGAGGGAUUAGGAGAGGGAGGCUGGGGAAGAUGAAACAGGUUUGAAAAGGCAACAAACCAGCUCAGAGGCGAUGUCAGGCUCAGGUACCUCACAAGUAAACCCUAAACGCUACAUCACAAUGACAGAAGCAAUAUACUUGUAUACAUUAUGCCUGAAGGACAUCUAAGUGAGUAUCCCUUGCUUGGCUGGGAAGAAAAUUUAUGUUGUGUUCCUUCUGCAACUCUUUGUGCUAAGACUCUGUCAGGUUGCGGUGACGGAGUUGUCAGAAGAGGCCCUAUUCUGCGUCGCCACAAUGAGGCUCACCUGCAGGUAGGAGAACACUUCUUUUCUUCCAGCUCUUCCUUCCUACAGGCUUCCCACAGUUCACUGUACCUGAGGUGAGAGUUGCCAGCAUUUGGACUGUGCUGCUUUAGGUAAGUUCACAUUCCACCACUCAGUGGUCUUUUUUUUUCAAGACAGUAUCUUUUGUAUUAGUCUCUCCUUUUUCUCAUUUUCUUUUCUGCUGGUCUUUUCACAGGUCUCUCCAAAGAGCCCUCAACCCUCAAAUGAGGCCAGGGCUUCCAGCAGAGUCCCAGAAGUCAUGGUGAUCAAUGGCUCAUCCAGCUUCAAACAAAAAUGACGGUCAAAAUGGUAUUGUAUGACUGAAGGACGUUUAGGUGAGUAAGCCUUGCUUGGCUAGGGAGAAAAUCUCUAUUGUGUUCCGUCUGCAACUCUUUGUGCUAAGACUCUUUCAGGUUGCGGUGAUGGAGUUGUCAGAAGAGGUCCUAUUCUGUGUCGCCACAAUGAGGCUCAUCUGCAGGUAGGAGAACACUUCUUCUUUUCUUCCAGCUCUUCUUUCCUUCAGGCUUCCCACGGUUCACUGUACCUGAGGGGAGAGUCGCCUGCAUUUGGACUGCGCUGCUUUAGGUAAGUUCACAUUCCACCACUCAGUGGUCUUUUUCCAAGACAAUAUUUUUUGUAUUGCUCUCUCCUUUUUCUCAUUUUCUUUU